GAAUAAUAGGAUUACAUCAUGUUGCGUCAGCCUACCAGUAACUCAUAAGGUGUCAUUCCCUAGCUUAUAAAAUAUUUUAGUAAUUUAGAAUUCAAUUAUUAACUUCAACUAAUGUCCAGCCUGUAUGCUCACCUUGCUAGCCAAUUAUUCCUGCAUUUUUUUUUUUAACUCACGGUUCAGUAAAAUUAUUUGUGAAAGAAGAGAGAGAGAGAACUAGCUAAGGUUCCAAUAACUUCAGAGGCCUGGGGGUGUUGAGGGAGAGAGCACAGAAUGGCGUCUCCCUUCCCUCUGGCAACAGAUAGUAAUUGACGAACACAACACACCACGUGGAGAGAAGCAAGGUGUGGAGUACCCAAGCCUCUCACAGUCCAUGCUAGUAGACUCACCCUGCAUGUGGAGAUCUCCCAAAAUGCACGGAGGUUAUUCCAGAGCUGCAGGACAGAGUACUUGAGGCCAUUGGUGAACAGAAAGCUGAGGUUGAACAAAGCCAAGAAUUGAUAGCUGCCCAAGGUGUAAGCAAGAUUCACAAUGAUGAGGUCAUUGUGACGUGUGCAAUGUGUCCACUGGUCUUGGCCUUCCUGACCAAGGCAGCCACACAAAGGAAAUUCCACGUUAUUGUUGCCGAACGUGCCCCUAAAUAUGAUGGUCACCCAGUGGCAAAAGCUUUAUGUACUGCUGGAAUUGAGACAACAUUAAUUCAAGACUGCAGUGUUCCCCAUCAUGUCACGUGUCAACAAGGUCAUCAAAGGUCAUCGUUGGGGUGUUUUGGAGGUGUUUUGGGGUGUUUUUUCAAGUGUUUUGAGGGCAGAAGGAGGAGGGACAUCGGUGCCAGUUUGACCGAGGCUUGGGAGGUGAUCAAUCCUAGGGCUCUGUUCUCCGUCAGCUGUGUCAAGGGCCUGGGCAGAGAAGGUGUGUGUGUGUGUGUUUGUAUGUUCAGUAUUGUGUGUUUGUUCGUGUUUGUAGUAGUGUGUGUGUGUGUGUGUGUGUGUGUGUGUGUGUGUGUGUGUGUGUGUGUGUGUGUGUGUGUGUGUGUGUGUGUACUAGCAAAUAUUCCCUUAUGUUUACUCCUGAAACACACACACACACACACACACACACACACACACACACACACACACACACACACACACACACACACACACACACACACACACACACACCACCUCCUGUUCCUCCUCCUCCUCCUCUCCCUUCAUUCACACACACACACACACACACACACACACACACACACACACACACACACACACACACACACACACACACACACACACACACACACACACACACACACACACACACACACACACACACACACACACACACACACACACACACACACACACACACACACACACUACCUCCUCGUCCUCCUCUCCCUUCAUUCAUAAACAUCUGUCUUUCUCUCUCUCUGUAGAACGCAUGAAAUUAAUACAACUUAGCCGAGUUUACUUCCUCUACCUGUUCCUGUAUUCCAGCCUGGAGUUAACGCUGAUCUUCGCGACCCACCACAAGCAUAGUUACGACUCGUUGGCGCAGGACCGCAAGUUUUCCUUCCUGGGCCUGGUCAUGGCAAUUACACAGAGAGGGUUUAUGCGAAGUGUUAAGACUGGAACUGAAAAAGCAACUGCCAAUUAGUGGUUAAUGACGAUGACUCCUGCUUUCAUCCUCAUCGGGGCUAGGAAGACCAACCUGGGGCUGUACUCUGGACUGACGCUGUAUGGCAUAGGUUCCUCUAUGAUGGUGCCCUGCCUCACUGCCCUCGCCUCCUGUCACGGCACGGCCUCUCACAAGGGUACCCUGUUUGGCAUUCGGAGGUCACCAGGGGCUCUACCAAGGGCGUUCGGACCUGUUGUGACAUCAAUAUGUUUGUUUGUGUUGUUUGAGAGUGUUUAGCUGUGUUUUGUGUGUGUUUUUUUGGUGUGUUUUGAGGUGUUUUGGGGGUGUUUUUGGGUGCUUUAAGGGGUGUUUUGGGUGUAUUUUUGGGUGUUUUGGGUGUUUUGGUAUGUUUGGCUGUGUUUUGUGUGUGUUUUUGGUGUGUUUUGAGGUGUUUUGGAUGUGUUUUGGGGUGUUUUGGGGUUGUUUUGGGUGUUUUGGUAUGUUUAGCUGUGUUUUUGGUGUGUUUUGGGGUGUUUUGGGUGUAUUUUAGGGUGUUUUGCUGUGUUUUUGUGUGUGUUUUUGGUGUGUUUUGGGGUGUUUUUGCGUGUGUUUUGUGUGUUUGGAAGUUUGAGGCUGUGUUUUUGGGUGUUUUUGGGUCUUUUGGGUGUAUUUUAGGGUGUUUUGGGGUGUUUAGCUGUGUUUUGUGUGUGUUUUUAGUGUGUUUUGUGGGUGUUUUGGAUGUGUU